ACCCGCGUCGUCUGCGCGCGUGGGUGUAUUAGUGGCAAACGGGAGAGUCACACGUGAGUAACCUGCCCUUAACUCUGGGAUAACCUUUGGAAAGGGGGUCUAAUUCUGUAUUUUGUUUUUUUCUCGCGUGGGGAUUGGGUGAAAGAUUUAUUGGUUUUGGAUGGACUCGCGGCCUAUCAUCUUGUUGGAGAGGUAAUGGCUUACCAGGGCCACCACGGGUAGCCGGCCUGAGAGGGUGACCGGCCACUCUGGGACUGACACACGGCCCACACUCCUACGGGGGGCAGCAGGGGGGAAUAUUGCACAGUGGGCAAAAGCCUGAUGCCGCCACCCCGCGUGAGGGAUGACGGCCUUCGGGUUGUAAACCUCUUUCAAUAGGGAACAGGGCCAGUGUUUAUCUGGUUGAGGGUACUUGCAAAAAAAGCCCCGGCUAACUACGUGCCAGCCCCCGCGGAAAUACAUAGGGCGCAAGCUUUAUCCAGAAUUAUUGGGCGUAAAGAUCUCGUACGCGGUUUGUCGCGUCUGCCGUGAAAGUCCGGGGCUCAACCCCAGAUCUGCGGUGGGUACGGGCAGACUAGAGUGAUGUAGGAGAGACUGGAAUUCCUGGUGGAGCGGUGAUGUGCACAUAUAUCGAGAGGAACACCUAUGGCGAACG
rnacentral:rRNA from 1 species